rnacentral:rRNA from 1 species
CAGUCACCACGGGAAUACAGAGGGUGCGAGCGUUAAUCGGAUUUACUGGGCGUAAAGCGCACGCAGGCGGUUUGUUAAGUCAGAUGUGAAAUCCCCGAGCUUAACUUGGGAACUGCAUUUGAAACUGGCAAGCUAGAGUCUUGUAGAGGGGGGUAGAAUUCCAGGUGUAGCGGUGAAAUGCGUAGAGAUCUGGAGGAAUACCGGUGGCGAAGGCGGCCCCCUGGACAAAGACUGACGCUCAGGUGCGAAAGCGUGGGGAGCAAACAGGAUUAGAUACCCCGGUAGUCCCUGUCUCUUAUAC